GAUGAACGCUGGCGGCGUGCCUAAUACAUGCAAGUCGAGCGAACAGACGAGGAGCUUGCUCCUCUGACGUAGCGGCGGACGGGUGAGUAACACGUGGAUAACCUACCUAUAAGACUGGGAUAACUUCGGGAAACCGGAGCUAAUACCGGAUAAUAUAUUGAACCGCAUGGUUCAAUAGUGAAAGACGGUUUUGCUGUCACUUAUAGAUGGAUCCGCGCCGCAUUAGCUAGUUGGUAAGGUAACGGCUUACCAAGGCAACGAUGCGUAGCCGACCUGAGAGGGUGAUCGGCCACACUGGAACUGAGACACGGUCCAGACUCCUACGGGAGGCAGCAGUAGGGAAUCUUCCGCAAUGGGCGAAAGCCUGACGGAGCAACGCCGCGUGAGUGAUGAAGGUCUUCGGAUCGUAAAACUCUGUCAUUAGGGAAGAACAAAUGUGUAAGUAACUAUGCACGUCUUGACGGUACCUAAUCAGAAAGCCACGGCUAACUACGUG
rnacentral:rRNA from 1 species